UAGGUUCUCACAUGUCCCGAGCUCAAUGCCGCUUGAUGACAUUAGCUCUCUAGUUCACAUACCUUCUAAAUGGCAAUCUUGUCAUCUUUCAUGUCACAAGUAAACUCAAGUUUAAAUGCAUGAAUCCGAACUCAUUUAUACUAUAGAAGCAUGAAACCAAGUCUCAUAAAGAAUGCUAAAUGCAACCAAAGAUCUCCCAAGCAACUCUCUACUACAUAGAGGUCCAAAAUUUCACUAUAUAUAACAUAUGCAUUUUAAGCAUUCUAAAAAUCAUAAUAAAUACAUUUAGUAUGAACAUGCAUGCUUUUUCAAUUUACGGAACAUAUAUAACCAUAUAUGAGAAUUUCUCAUAUGUAGGCUAGGUCAAACCCACCGAACCGUCGCGUAGGGUCUCGAUUCGCCGAACAAAGUUGUCCCCGAGUCUCAAAAUACCCUAAAAGUAUUGAGCGACAAGAUACACGG
rnacentral:lncRNA from 1 species